rnacentral:rRNA from 1 species
CCCUUAGAUGCUCUGGGCCGCACGCGCGCUACACUGGUCGAUGCAACGAGUUUCUUUCCUUGGCCGACAGGCCUGGGCAAUCUUUGAACAUCGAUCGUGAUCGGGAUAGAUUCUUGUAAUUUUUGAUCUUAAACGAGGAAUUCCUAGUAAACGCAAGUCAUCAGCUUGCAUUGAUUACGUCCCUGCCCUUUGUACACACCGCCCGUCGCACCUACCGAUUGAAUGGUCCGGUGAAUAGUUUGGACCGUCGGCUUUCUCGGUUCGCCGGGUUAGCAGUACGGAAAAUUCAGUGAACCUUUUUGCUUAGAGGAAGGAGAAGUCGUAACA